GCCGGUGGCCAUGGCGGGGAGGCAAUACCCGUUCCCAUUCCGAACACGGAAGUCAAGCUCCCCUGCGCCGAUGAUACUCCGUACGGGGGAAAGUAGGUGGCUGCCGGCU
rnacentral:rRNA from 1 species